GUCCAAUGUGGUAAAAGUAAGGUGAAGAGAUCAUUUCACGUACUACACAAGGCUUUGCAUGUAUUAAUGCACAGUGUUUAUUGUAACAUAGCAACCCCUAAUUUCCCCUUCUAGUUUGACAACAUCUGACGUCAUACAAUUUGUUGUUGAAUUUUCCUGCACGCUAACCAUUUUUGCACCAAAACUGUUACUGAGAUAGGUACACAAAUCUGUACCAUAUUAAUAUUCUGUUGAAAGUCUCUCACCAUUCGUUUACUCCUUCCCUACAAUACAGAUUUGAAUCAAAAUCAAUUAAAUGAUAAAAUUAUGGUUAUUUUGAAUUAUAAGAACUUAUUUUAGUUUUGAUUUUGGUGAGUCGUUUUGGAACGAACGAACACAUUUUUGCGAUAAUGAUUUUUAGCGUGCCGUGCAUUACCAGCUCUGCCGUAGUUUCUAGGGGUAACCAAGGUGUUGUUAUCCAAACACCACAAGCAAGAAAACUUUUCACGGAAGUGGAUGGUGAUGUUCCAGGUUGAGAAAUUUCAAGCAGGAUCAAAUAAGGGACCCCUGAAUAACAUACUUUGACUCAUAUUGAAAUGGCUGGCUUCUUAUGUUUCGGGUUCAAAGGUGAUACCAAAGAGUGCAAGUGCAUAAGAAGUGC